rnacentral:lncRNA from 1 species
GGUUCUGCCUCCCUUCCUCCACGCCUCUGGUAGCGACGGCCAAGGCUUCAGGGACGACUUCAUUCAUCACCUCUUCUCUCUCGCAUCUUCGGCCUCUCUCACUCUCCUCUGUUCGCAAUUCACGGCGGCGAUAGAAGCUUUAUCGACAGCGACGCAGUAACGGUGAGGGAACACCGAUCUCUGACGGCGACGGCAAUACUUCCUGCGAUGAGCGCUAGCAGCGACGGCGGCGAAACGGGUUGGGCGCAACGAUGAUGCUCUUCGCAGCUCCACGAACGGGUUACAGCAGACACAGAAGCGUGGGUAAGGCUGGGCGACGCUGGGGAUGGUGGCGACGGCGUAGCAGGGCCUGACGAACGAAGGCGGCGACGGUGCCAAGCCCCCUCCGGCGACGCUUCCCUCUUCUCUCGGAUCCCACUCUCUUUGUGUGCUUCUUCUUCAGUUCUGUGUGAAUGAGUUUUACGUUUAGGAAAGGAAAGGGGGAAACUGGGGGUGUGGCUGAGGGGUGAGGAAGUUAGGGUUAGGGUUUCUGGGAUUUGAGAAUUAGGGUUUCUGAUUCAAUUUGGGAAUUAGGGUUAGAAAUUAGGGAUUUUAUAAAAUAAUAAGGAUAGGUAUAAAUAGAUAUUUUGAUAAAAUUGAAGGGUAGAGUAAUUUUAAAAUCAAAUAUACUUUAUUAAAAAUU